CCAAAUAAAGAUUUCUGGAAUAUUUCUUUGGCCGACUGGGAUAAGAUUUUACUUUCAGUGGAUUCAGAUGUGAAUAUAGUUAAGGCAGUUGUCCUGUUAAUGUCUGAUGUUGAAGUCUGAACUGGAAGGUGGAAUUUUAAAAUUACUCUCAUAAAGGAGUGUGUGCUGAAUUGGAGGGCGUGUUUUUGUUUUGUUUUGUAUUUUUGAGCUGAGGAUGAUUUGGAAUGGUAAAGCUGGCUAUUGUUUCUUAAGACUGUUCUCCUGUGCCAGGUGAUGUCAUACAAUUGGCUUCUUCCACUGAUUCUUCCAAACAACCAUUAGCUGAUUCUCUGCCUUGUGGAAAUGUUGCUGCUUUGGGAGCUGUGGAGUUGACUGAAGCCAGCACUUCCCAGCCAGCUAGCUGCAAAGAAGUUGAGAACCCUGUUUCAACUGUUCCCAAGGAAGCAUUCUUGGUUGCUACACCCUCUAAUGAUGUAGAAUCGCCAGCUGCAGAUUGUAAAGGAUUGAUAAAGGAAAUAAAGAGGUAUUGUGUAA
rnacentral:lncRNA from 1 species